rnacentral:tRNA from 1 species
GGAGGGGUGGCAGAGCGGUUUAUUGCACCUGUCUUGAAAACAGACGUGCGUGAUGAGCGCACCGGGGGUUCGAAUCCCUCCCCCUCCG